GCCUGUAAAUUCGGGUUGUUAGAAUCAUCGUGUUGGGACUUAAAAUCCUGUGGGGGUUUCCCCCGUACGGGUUCGAUCCCCGUCCCCGGCA
rnacentral:tRNA from 1 species